GAGUUUGAUCUUGGCUCAGGACGAACGCUGGCGGCGUGCCUAAUACAUGCAAGUCGAGCGGGGAACUUAGGUUCCUAGCGGCGAACGGGUGAGUAACACGUGGGCAACCUGCCCUCAAGCUUGGGAUAACUCCGGGAAACCGGGGCUAACACCAAAUAAUCUUCUUUUUCGCAUGAAGAAGAAGUAAAAGUUUACACUUGAGGAUGGGCCCGCGGUGCAUUAGCUAGUUGGUAAGGUAACGGCUUACCAAGGCAACGAUGCAUAGCCGACCUGAGAGGGUGACCGGCCACACUGGGACUGAGACACGGCCCAGACUCCUACGGGAGGCAGCAGUAGGGAAUUUUCCGCAAUGGGCGCAAGCCUGACGGAGCAACGCCGCGUGAGUGAAGACGGCCUCGGUUGUAAG
rnacentral:rRNA from 1 species